UAAACCAUUUACGUUUUAUCAAUUUCCUUAAAUUUUCGUCAAUCAAAAUUAUUCCUUCGAGCUUUCAAGCAUUUUAAAGUCUAUUAACUGUAACUUCCAGAAAUAAAUCGAUGUUAGUUCUUUCCAUUGUUUUCAUUCGAGGCGGAUCAACAAUAUUUAAUUUUAAAAGGCAUUUAUUCUUUCAUAUUAAAACAUAGUCACAUUUUUGUAAAUUAUAUAGCUAACCAAUUGUUCUUAAAUAUAAUUUAUUAGUGGAUUUACUAAGUCUUACUAAUGAAGAGCCAUAUAUCUGUGAACUAUUGAACUUGAUAUAAUCAUUUAAAUUUAAUUUAAAAAUACAUAAGCUUAUGCAUAUUAAAGAAAAAUUGCUGCUUUUGAUGUCUACAAUGAGAGGUUCUUUUGGAAUAGACACUGUUUCACAAAUUUAUAAAAUAUGUGGCAUAUGUUAAAAAAUGUGGCAUAAUGUUUAUGUGUAAAAGAGAUUUUAAUGAAUAUAAUCCUGUCAAAAAGGAUCCUUAUAUAUAUAUGAAUUGUGUGGUGAAACAUUUUCUGCAAAUUUUUGCUAGCAAACAUGUUUACUAAGUCAUCAAGAAGAAAGGCACUAACAUAUAUGGUAACCAGUGUGCAACAGUCCAAAGUAUGUGUUCUUUCUUAGCACAUUUAGGAAUUGAUGGGAUUUAUAUAGUGCAUCAGCCAGGAAGACAGCUUAAGAAUCUAAGCGAUCCUUAAACAAUGCAAUAAAAAUAAACUUCUUUGAAGAGUAAAAAGGUAAAUCCUCAAUUAAUACAUUGCACCCUUAUCAAGAAGGGUUGGAUGAAAUGGCUGUUAAAGAUGUCUAAGAACUACUGGUAAAAGAAGGAACUAAUGGAGCAAAUUUGGUUGAAAGGAGCAUCUGAGAAGAAAAAGAUUUAAUUGAACAGCUACGUGGAAAUUUGUCCAUUAAAUUAAAGGUCAAGUGAAAUAAAUGUUUACAAACAUUCAAUGCUUCAUAGCAAAAUUUAUAAAUCUGUUUAUGACCCAAAAUAAUUUAAUUUUUAUAUAUUUAUAAAUUGUAGUGAAUGUACUUGGAUACAAUACUGAACAAAAUUUAGACGAUGAGCUAUUUUAUCAAAAAUGGAAGUGCCUUUAUAGAAAUGACAAAAGGAGGAUUAUCUUAUGCUUAAAUAUUAACUUUCUCAACCAAGUAUUUAUCAUUAUAUGGUCACUAAGAUACACAUUCAGUAACUAAAUAUAUAAAAGUUGUAUUGGGUAAAUGAUUAAAAUAACUUAUAUUUCGUUGAAAAUAGCUUCAAUAAAGAUAUUAAGAAUAAAAAUCAAUAUAUAUAUAUAUAUAUAUAUAUAUAAAGGAUCCCAAUUUCCUUUUUGCUUAGUUUAUUUAGUAUUUUUAUUUUCUCAUAUAUUUGUAUAGCAAAACAUUUUUUAGACCCUUAAUAAUUGCAUUAUGUGGGGUGUUACCUAUAUGGAUACUAUUUCAUAAACAGAACCCUAGAUAAGACUUGUCAGCUAUUACUUCCUGAAUGAUAAAUCAUUUAAAGAACAAUGACAUUUAAAUUUACUGGUGAUUGUAGCUCCAUUGAAGGAAUUUCUAUUUCUGUAUUUUCCUAUCUAAUUUUUAUAUCUGCUUUAUUCCACUGCAGAAAAAAAUAUAAAGUAACAGUUCAGUUUAUAAACCCAUCUCAGAUUGAAUAAAAUGUAAGGGUUUUUUUUUCUGUUUUGCAAUGUUAUAUUUUAAAUUUUAAAAAAAUCAAUAAAUGAACUAAAUAUAAAUAAAAGAAAUAAACCUUAUAUUAUCAUAAAGUCUACUAUUCUGACAAAAUUGCUGACCGAUCAAAAUAAAAUGGAAAAUUUUAAUAUCAAUUUGCCUUAAACUAAAAGCUUUUAUCUUUUAUUUUGAGCACCAAAGAAGAAAAUUUAACAAUCCAAUUCCAUAGGAACAAACAAUAUUAAAAUAAAUUCUGAUUAUAUGUUAGUAAGGUUUUAAUGAAUUACUUAUUUUCUGUUUGGAUGAAUUAUUUACUUUUGUUUUAAUUACAUAUAAGAAUAAAGAAUAUGUCAACUAGAUUUGAACAAGCAGUAGUUUAUACUUAAAACAAGCAAAGGAUGAAAUACUGAAUGCAUAAUUCUCAUGUAUUAAUUUAUUCGAUGAUUAACUAACCCUGAGAGUUCCAUAAGCUACUUUUGUAAUAAAAAUUUUAUUUUUUUACUAUGAAAAUGUUUAAAAUUAAUUCACAAGAGAAGAAGAUUAUAUAUUAUUAUAUAUAAAAACAUUGUGAUAUACAUAAAAUUUUGCUUGUACAUUUUAAAAAUCUGUUUUCAAUAUAUAAUUUCAAAAUAAUUGCUUCAAUUUAUUAUAAGUACUUUUUUAUAUAAUUUCUUAUUUUAUUAUUAAUAUUUUAUUUCAAAUAUAAUAUAUUUAUCAGGUAAUGAACUCCCAGAAAUUCUCUUUACAUAUUAAAUGGAUUAUGAGGAAAUAAUAAAAUGGUUAUAAUUCACUCUUAAACAUUUCAUAUUGCAUCUUUGAUAUUAUGUACUGUAGGGUUCAGCAUAAUAUUGAUGAUUUCUAAAUAAUAGUUUGAUCUGUUAUAUCAAAACAUGUAUGCUUUUAUAUAUUUACAUUCUGUAAUUCUCACUUUUGCCAAUCUCUUGAAAAUUAUUACAGGUCUUUCAACAUAGUUUCAAUCAAAGAUGAUCAGAGAUAUUGCUGUGAAAUUCAACAUGGAAAUUUCAUUCAUUCAUGGAAAAUGUAUUGUGCAUACAAUAGGCUGUUCAUGAAGUGUAUUCAAUCUGAGCAAAAGAUCAUCCCACUUUUUUUACAGUCUAUUGUAAGUAAUCUUUCCUUUAGAUAUAAAUGUAGCUGGUGUAGCUAUGGCACCAACAUCUAUUCUGAGCUCAAGCAUCAUAUGUAUAUCCAUACUGGUGGAAAACCGUUUUCUUGUGAAAUUUGUGGCAAGAAAUUCAGUCAUCCAACUACUCUACAAAUGCAUGUUGCCAUUCAUGUUUCCUUGAAUGAAAAGGCCCUGGAAAGUUCCUUUUAAUGAGUCAAGUCACAAUAUUCAUAACAUUGCUUAAAGAUUUCUUAUAUACCGAAGAACCAGGAAAACUGGUACACCUAUCUAAUAUUAUGUAGUUUCCCCCAAGCAAGCAGAAAUACUGUGAAUGACAUGGCAUAGACUCAAUUAACAUCAAAAGGUAUACUGGAAGCAACUGUCAUCAUAAUUUCCACAGAACAGUCCUCAAAUCUUUAGGAGUGUAAUGUAGUGGAAAUUUCUUCUGAACAGCAUGUUAAAAAGCAUAGCAAAUAUGUUUAAUAAUUUUCAUGUCUGAAGAUUUCCAUAAUCAAUAGAAGGGUCUAAUAUCAAAAGAAUGUUCCUGGAGCCACUUGGCAGCAAUUCUCGAUUCAUAAGAUCUCGCAUCAUCCUGCCAGAAUUAUAGAAAUCCAUCAGAAUUUACAAUGAUCAUGGAUGUGUAUAGGUGGACAGAGAGGAUAUUUAUGUACCUGUCACUUGUCAGAUUCAUCUCUUGACAUAUCUGGCAUUCUAUAUCAUGUUAAUUGUACAUGCACCAUAUCAUCCCAGAGGUUCCACCAGAUUGAUCAGUUCCCAGAAACACCAGAUUUAACAAUAUGUAAAGUCCACAGAUUCAUUAGCUUGUCUCCAUAUCCAUACAUGUCCAUUGACUCAGUACUACUGAAUAUGAGAUUCGACAAGAGACAAGGCAAUGUGUUUUGAAUCAUCAACAGUAUAUAAUAGUGAUAUUGGUCUUUUGUGCUGUCUUGUCAAAAUGGUACACUAAUGGGCUUUCAGCUUCAGAAGCCUAUAACAAUGAUGGCUGAUUGAAUAGUUUUCAUCAUGCCCCAGUAUUGAAAUAUGUGGCUCAUUUAAAGAUUCUUGUCCGUUGUCAAUGGCCCUGUUCUUUCAAGGUCUUUUUUCAGCCAAUGUCAGAUUCAAAUUUCAUCAGCCCUUCAAAAAUGCUUUGUCCCAACUCUAGUGUGUUGACUCUAAUGCCUCAUUCGAAAUCACUUGCAUCUUAAUAACCUGCCAUUGUAACAACAAAAAUUGAUCUUACUUCUCUGCUAUGUAUCUGUUGUCUUGUAUUGGACCGACCACACCAUGCUACACCAAUUGGUUGCAUAGCUCCUUUAUUGUUAUAGAAAAAUAAUGCGUGUAUUUGAUAAAUAAAAUACUGUGGAGUUACCCCUGUGGGUUUCAAGUGUUCCAAAUAUGUGAAAAUUUUAUUGACCUUCUUUUUUAUAUUUUCUAAUUUUAACAUUUUCUGUUUCUGUGAUUGCAGUCUGAGAAGCGAGUCAUUUUCAUCUUGUUUCAUUUUUACUGUGAAAAAUCUAAGUCAUUAGUGUAAUAUUAGUCAUAAUUAGUAUGUGAUGUAUAAAGUUUCAUGGUGAAAUUUUUAUUGCUAACAUACUUCAACUAAUAAAGAAAAAAUAUGAUGCAAUAUUUUUUUAAUUACUAUUUCUUUGGGUCACAAAUUUAAAAAAAAAAAAAAGCUAGUUUAAAGGACUAUUUUGUAAUUGACUUUUUAAGGA